rnacentral:pre_miRNA from 1 species
UUGAUACUCCCUCCGUCCGGAAAUACUUGUCCUAGAGAUGAAUGUAUCUAGACUUAUUUUAGUUAUAGAUACAUCCAUUAUAUCCAUUUCUAAGACAAGUAUUUCCAGACGGAGGGAGUAUAUU